GCGGGUAUAUCUCAGUGGUAGAGUGUAUGCUUAGCAUGCACAGGGUCCUAGGUUCAAUCCCCAGUACCUCUG
rnacentral:tRNA from 1 species